AUGUAGUGUGACAUGCCCGUUUGGGAUUUACUUUGAUGUAUGUUUAAUUAUUAUUUAAUUGCUUUUGGGUAACGGGGUGUUACACUAAG
rfam:Medicago truncatula strain A17 unplaced genomic scaffold scaffold0011, whole genome shotgun sequence.